rnacentral:rRNA from 1 species
UACGUAGGGGGCAAGCGUUGUCCGGAUUCAUUGGGCGUAAAGAGCGUGUAGGCGGCCAGGUAGGUCGGUUGUGAAAACUGGAGGCUCAACCUUCAGAGGUCGACCGAAACCAUCUGGCUAGAGUCCGGGAGAGGAGAGUGGAAUUCCUGGUGUAGCGGUGAAAUGCGCAGAUAUCAGGAAGAACACCAACGGCGAAGGCAGCUCGCUGGGACGGUACUGACGCUGAGACGCGAAAGCGUGGGGAGCGAACAGG